GGUGGAGCAGCUUGGUAGCUCGUCGGGCUCAUAACCCGAAGGUCGUUGGUUCAAAUCCGGCCC
rnacentral:tRNA from 1 species